CCUACGGGAGGCAGCAGUGGGGAAUAUUGGACAAUGGGGGGAACCCUGAUCCAGCGACGCCGCGUGAGUGAAGAAGUAUUUCGGUAUGUAAAGCUCUAUCGGCAGGGAAGAAAGAAAUGACGGUACCUGACUACGAAGCCCCGGCUAACUACGUGCCAGCAGCCGCGGUAAUACGUAGGGGGCAAGCGUUAUCCGGAUUUACUGGGUGUAAAGGGAGCGUAGACGGCGAUGCAAGUCUGAAGUGAAAGGCGGGGGCCCAACCCCCGGACUGCUUUGGAAACUGUAUGGCUGGAGUGCAGGAGAGGUAAGUGGAAUUCCUAGUGUAGCGGUGAAAUGCGUAGAUAUUAGGAGGAACACCAGUGGCGAAGGCGGCUUACUGGACUGUAACUGACGUUGAGGCUCGAAAGCGUGGGGAGCAAACAGGAUUAGAUACCCUAGUAGUC
rnacentral:rRNA from 1 species